GGAUGCGAUCAUACCAGCACUAAAGCACCAGAUCCCAUCAGAACUUCGAAGUUAAGCGUGUUUGGGCGAGAGUAGUACUAGGAUGGUUGACCUCCUGGGAAGUCCUCGUGUUGCAUUCC
rnacentral:rRNA from 1 species